rnacentral:rRNA from 1 species
GUAUACGGGGGAUGCAAGCGUUAUCCGGAAUCAUUGGGCGUAAAGCGCCUGUAGGUUGUCUAAUAAGUCUGUUGUUAAAGACUAGGGCUUAACCCUGGGAAAGCGAUGGAAACUACUAGGCUUGAGUAUGGUAGGGGUAGAGGGAAUUUCUAGUGUAGCGGUGAAAUGCGUAGAUAUUAGAAAGAACACCGGUGGCGAAAGCGCUCUACUGGGCCAUUACUGACACUGAGAGGCGAAAGCUAGGGGAGCAAAAGGGAUUAGAUACCCCUGUAGUCCUAGCCGUAAACGAUGGAUACUAGGUGUUGUAUUAUUAUACAGUAUCGUAGCUAACGCGUUAAGUAUCCCGCCUGGGGAGUACGCUCGCAAGGGUGAAACUCAAAGGAAUUGACGGGGGCCCGCACAAGCGGUGGAGCAUGUGGUUUAAUUCGAUGCAACGCGAAGAACCUUACCAGGGCUUGACAUACUACAAAUCUUUUUGAGACGAAAGAGUGCCUUCGGGAAUGUAGAUACAGGUGGUGCAUGGCUGUCGUCAGCUCGUGUCGUGAGAUGUUGGGUUAAGUCCCGCAACGAGCGCAACCCUCGUUUUUAGUUGCCAAUUUAUUGGGAUUUCUAGAGAGACUGCCGGUGAUAAACCGGAGGAAGGUGAGGAUGACGUCAAGUCAGCAUGCCCCUUAUGCCCUGGGCCACACACGUGCUACAAUGACAAAGACAAAGAGUCGCAAAUUCGCGAGAACUAGCUAAUCUCAUAAACUUUGUCACAGAUUCGGAU